GGGAGUGAAAUAGAACCUGAAACCCUGCACUUACAAGCUGUGGAAGCACAUUUCUUGUGUGACCGCGUACUUUUUGUAGAACGGGCCAACGAGUUACGUUAAGUAGCAAGGUUAAGCACUUAAGGUGUGGAGCCGUAGCGAAAGCGAGUUUUAACUGAGCGUUCAGUUACUUGACGUAGACCCGAAACCGGGCGACCUACCCAUGAGCAGG
rnacentral:rRNA from 1 species